CCCAAAAGCAACUGUUGACGAGUGUCAAGUCUCAAGGCUCGUAGUAUGAAAAGCGUGUGAUUGUUUUCCGAAUGAAAGCGCACGUAGCCACCAACUGUGUAGAUUAUACCAGGGUAUAUUAAUGUUUUACUUUUGUACGAAUUUUAUAUUCUUAUUUCACAAGAUCGAGUGCCUUCACUAUUAAUAUGAGAACACACCCUUCCGUGGCCAGUGCCCAUGCUGUGGCCCUGCUUAGGAAACUGAAUAUUCAGAGAAUGGAGGGGAAAUUCUGCGACUGUGUGAUUCGACAAUAUCUGAACCCAGGGAAACUUUAUCUGGCCCAUAAAAGUGUUCUGGCAGCUUCUAGUCCCGUCCUGGCCUCCCUCCUGCCCAGUAAAAGUGUGUUGCUGGAGUUGCAGUUUCCAUCCACUACAAAGGAGGUUCUGGGGUCUCUGUUGGAAUUUAUCUACACUGGGAUACUACCCCCAGCAGAUCAGGAUGAUUCUCUUCUGUCUGCUGCUACAUAUCUGCAAAUUGAGGAACUACAGCAGGCUUUAAGCAACAGUAAGCUGGACUCAUCAUCUGAGUCAGACUGCAUUGUUGCAGGCUUCAAACUGGCCCGAAACGCAGGCACCAGGGGCUCUGUGUCAUUGACCAUCGAGUGCCCGUCCUGGAAGAUGUCUGGAGAAACAUCUCCAUGGGUGCAGCUAUGUCUGAAGACAGGGUGGUAAGAUGCAGGCGCCUAUUUGGGUCCUGCAAUGCUGCACACGUCUCUGAGUUCCUCAGUAAAGUUGAGCCAGUCGGUCGAAAGUGUCACCUAUGUCAUAGUGUUUGGUUCCACCAUGCACAGGUGGUUCGUGAAAAGGUUUUCAAUCCCCAAUUCCUGACCCUACAGCCUGACUGUCUACAGUUCUCAUUCAUAGCGCGGAGGUAGAUGGUAAAUGACCGCCAACCCCAUGCCUCCCUCCCUCCUCCAGGCUAGGGAUCUGGCAUGUCGUGACAUCAUUGCUGACCAAUAUCAGGCUUGGAUUUGCCGCGCUUAAUGUUUUUCUGUUUGGCAGGGUGCAGUAAUAAUAAAGAUAUUCACUGAGAUGUGGAUCAGAACUUGGGCCCAAAUGAAUAAGUCAGCUGGGGGUUGUUGAGAUAGGAAACCAACUGUAAAGAGAAAAUUUUCAGAUCAGCACCAAAGCAAGAGGAAGGAACCUUCUUCCUUUCAUAGCACUCUAUUCCCUCAAAGUUGUGAAGUUGUCCCAGUCAUAUGCCAUGCUAGUAAAAAUUAUUCUCUAGUGUCAAAAACACAACCUCAAAGCAACAUCUUCAACAUAGGGUUUGA